GACUUAUCUAUUCCAGCUGCCUGUCCUGUCUCUGCUCCCUUCCAUUACUACUGAGCUGGCCCUUCUCUACCUCCCAACAUGAUGCCCUCACUCACCUUCAGGGGCCACCCAGGCAGGUGCAUACAUGCGCCCAGGGCAUUGGAAGGAGAACUUGACGUCGGCCAUGCUGAUUCGGGCAGUCAUGUCCUCAUCAAUCUGAGGAAGAGAAGAUAGAUAUGUGGAAGGAGGUAAGUCCUAUUCUAGACAGCGAAAGGGCUCUGGGGGCAUGGGCCAGGAGUGAAGUGUGACCUUACCAUUACACUACGGCUGUUGAGUGCAUGUCGUGGGAUGAGGGGCUCUAGAGUGUGUAGGAAGGCCAUGCCCCUUGCCAUGUCCAAUGCAAACUUCACAGCCUGGCUCUGGUCCACAACAAAAUCUAAGGAGGCAAGAGUUAAAUAGUUUGGAAAGGCUCACACACCCUGCCCCCAUCCCUUGAGAUUUGGCAUCCCCUACUCACUGGUGCCUUCAUGUAACACAUUGUACAAGGAUCCAUAUGGCAUCCAGUGUGUGAUGAGGGUGGGGUGUGGAGCAGGUGGAGACUGACAGGCACCUAGCACUGGGAGCACAUUCGGAUGCGAGAAAAUCCUGGAAGAGGGAGAGUAUCCCUAGCUGAGAUCAGCAUAAAAGAUCUCCCUUUGGGUGCUAUUCCGGGUUCUUCAGAACCAGCAGCUUCCCAUUUAGGCCCUGCCGCACCUGAGCCGGGGACACUCCUCAUUGAAGUCCCUGCUCUUCCUUGUACUCCAGUCUCGAACCUUUAGCACCUUCACGACGAUGUCAUUGCCCUGCCAACGGCCCUUCCAUAGCUGAGAGACAAGUAAGGUUUAGGAGGCUUUAACUAAGGCCACUGCUUUCUUGUCCACUUACCGGAGGAAAAGCUUAAGGCAGGUGAAGAGCAGGUAAUUGGUUAGGGGUUGGGGAGGGAGGGGCAAGAAGGGCAGGGUCACCUCUCCAGAGUGAUUCUCGUUGAGCUUCGCCAGGAAGUUGAGCUGUUUGAAGUCAAUGCCCGAGUGUUUGUUCAGAGUCCCAUUUCCUGAGAGUGUGGGCAGGUCAGGUACCCAAGCUUCCCCCUAACCCAGCCCCAGGAGCUCAAGGUUAUUCCCUCAACCACCCCUCCCCUCCCCUUACAGCUGACUCACGGGGCCGAGUGCGGGUGGUCCCCUUCCAGAAUGUGUCCUUGUAUGGAAUACGGUUAAGAUUCUGGCCCAUCUUCUCUGCCCGUUCUGGGGAAGAAAAACAAUUUUCGCUUCAGUUGUAGUAUGAUGGGGCGAGGAUAUAGGUGGGGGGACAAGACAAGAGGGUACAAACUGGGGGUGGGGGACAGACCUCGGAGGAGCUCUCUCAGGGGUGCCUUGGCUUUGUCCACAGGCAUCUCUCCAUACUUGUUACAAAUGCUGACAAGGGCCCCAUUAGCCACUAGGUCCUAGAAUGAAAAGGUGGUUGUGAUGAG
rnacentral:lncRNA from 1 species